AGAGUUUGAUCCUGGCUCAGGAUUAACGCUGGCGGUGUGUCUAAUACAUGCAAGUCGCGCGAGGGUUCGACCCGAGCGGCGGACGAGCGAGUAACACGUUGGAACCUACCCCGAACUCAGGGAUAACACCUAGAAAUAGGUGCUAAUACCGGAUAGUCUCGAAAGAGUAAAGCUACGGCGGUUUGGGAGGGGCCUGCGGCCUAUCAGUUAGUUGGCGAGGUAACGGCUCACCAAGACUAUGACGGGUAACUGGUCUGAGAGGACGACCAGUCGCGAUGGGACUGAGAUACGGCCCAUACUCYUACGGGAGGCAGCAGUAAGGAAUCUUCCGCAAUGGACGAAAGUCUGACGGAGCAACACCGCGUGAUUGAUGAAGCCCUUCGGGGUGUAAAGAUCUUUUCUGAGAGAAGAAUUAUGACGGUAUCUUAGGAAUAAGCACCGGCUAACUCUGUGCCAGCAGCCGCGGUAAUACAGAGGGUGCAAGCGUUAUCCGGAAUCAUUGGGCGUAAAGGGUUCGUAGGUGGAAUGUUAAGUUGGGUGUUAAAUUUUGCAGCUCAACUGCAAAAAUGUGCCCAAAACUGGCAAUCUAGAGUGCUACAGAGGUACGUGGAAUUCUGUAUGUAGGGGUUAAAUCCGUAGAUAUACAGAGGAACACCAAAAGCGAAGGCAGCGUACUGGGUAGCAACUGACACUCAAGAACGAAAGCGUGGGGAGCGAACGGGAUUAGAUACCCUGGUAGUCC
rnacentral:rRNA from 1 species